GGGUUGUGAGGUUAAGCGACUAAGCGUACACGGUGGAUGCCCUGGCAGUCAGAGGCGAUGAAGGACGUGCUAAUCUGCGAAAAGCGUCGGUAAGGUGAUAUGAACCGUUAUAACCGGCGAUGUCCGAAUGGGGAAACCCAGUGCAAUUCGUUGCACUAUCGUUAACUGAAUACAUAGGUUAACGAGGCGAACCGGGGGAACUGAAACAUCUAAGUACCCCGAGGAAAAGAAAUCAACCGAGAUUCCCCCAGUAGCGGCGAGCGAACGGGGAGCAGCCCAGAGUCUGAAUCAGCUUGUGUGUUAGUGGAACGGUCUGGAAAGUCCGACGGUACAGGGUGAUAGUCCCGUACACCAAAAUGCACAGGUUGUGAACUCGAAGAGUAGGGCGGGACACGUGGUAUCCUGUCUGAAUAUGGGGACCAUCCUCCAAGGCUAAAUACUCCUGACUGACCGAUAGUGAACCAGUACCGUGAGGGAAAGGCGAAAAGAACCCCGGCGAGGGGAGUGAAAAAGAACCUGAAACCGUGUACGUACAAGCAGUGGGAGCACCUUCGGGUGUGACUGCGUACCUUUUUGUAUAAUGGGUCAGCGACUUAUAUUCUGUAGCAAGGUUAACCGUAUAGGGGAGCCGCAGGGAAACCGAGUCUUAACUGGGCGUUAAGUUGCAGGGUAUAGACCCGAAACCCGGUGAUCUAGCCAUGGGCAGGUUGAAGGUUGGGUAACACUAACUGGAGGACCGAACCGACUAAUGUUGAAAAAUUAGCGGAUGACUUGUGGCUGGGGGUGAAAGGCCAAUCAAACCGGGAGAUAGCUGGUUCUCCCCGAAAGCUAUUUAGGUAGCGCCUCGUGAACUCAUCUUCGGGGGUAGAGCACUGUUUCGGCUAGGGGGUCAUCCCGACUUACCAACCCGAUGCAAACUACGAAUACCGAAGAAUGUUAUCACGGGAGACACACGGCGGGUGCUAACGUCCGUCGUGAAGAGGGAAACAACCCAGACCGCCAGCUAAGGUCCCAAAGUCAUGGUUAAGUGGGAAACGAUGUGGGAAGGCACAGACAGCCAGGAUGUUGGCUUAGAAGCAGCCAUCAUUUAAAGAAAGCGUAAUAGCUCACUGGUCGAGUCGGCCUGCGCGGAAGAUGUAACGGGGCUAAACCAUGCACCGAAGCUGCGGCAGCGACACUAUGUGUUGUUGGGUAGGGGAGCGUUCUGUAAGCCUGCGAAGGUGUGCUGUGAGGCAUGCUGGAGGUAUCAGAAGUGCGAAUGCUGACAUAAGUAACGAUAAAGCGGGUGAAAAGCCCGCUCGCCGGAAGACCAAGGGUUCCUGUCCAACGUUAAUCGGGGCAGGGUGAGUCGACCCCUAAGGCGAGGCCGAAAGGCGUAGUCGAUGGGAAACAGGUUAAUAUUCCUGUACUUGGUGUUACUGCGAAGGGGGGACGGAGAAGGCUAUGUUAGCCGGGCGACGGUUGUCCCGGUUUAAGCAUGUAGGCUGGUUAUCCAGGCAAAUCCGGAUAAUCAAGGCUGAGGUGUGAUGACGAGGCACUACGGUGCUGAAGUAACAAAUGCCCUGCUUCCAGGAAAAGCCUCUAAGCAUCAGGUAACAUCAAAUCGUACCCCAAACCGACACAGGUGGUCAGGUAGAGAAUACCAAGGCGCUUGAGAGAACUCGGGUGAAGGAACUAGGCAAAAUGGUGCCGUAACUUCGGGAGAAGGCACGCUGGUGUGUAGGUGAAGUCCCUGCGGAUGGAGCUGAGACCAGUCGAAGAUACCAGCUGGCUGCAACUGUUUAUUAAAAACACAGCACUGUGCAAACACGAAAGUGGACGUAUACGGUGUGACGCCUGCCCGGUGCCGGAAGGUUAAUUGAUGGGGUUAUCCGUAAGGAGAAGCUCUUGAUCGAAGCCCCGGUAAACGGCGGCCGUAACUAUAACGGUCCUAAGGUAGCGAAAUUCCUUGUCGGGUAAGUUCCGACCUGCACGAAUGGCGUAAUGAUGGCCAGGCUGUCUCCACCCGAGACUCAGUGAAAUUGAACUCGCUGUGAAGAUGCAGUGUACCCGCGGCAAGACGGAAAGACCCCGUGAACCUUUACUAUAGCUUGACACUGAACAUUGAGCCUUGAUGUGUAGGAUAGGUGGGAGGCUUUGAAGCGUGGACGCCAGUCUGCGUGGAGCCAACCUUGAAAUACCACCCUUUAAUGUUUGAUGUUCUAACGUUGGCCCCUGACCGGGGUUGCGGACAGUGUCUGGUGGGUAGUUUGACUGGGGCGGUCUCCUCCCAAAGCGUAACGGAGGAGCACGAAGGUUAGCUAAUCCUGGUCGGACAUCAGGAGGUUAGUGCAAUGGCAUAAGCUAGCUUGACUGCGAGCGUGACGGCGCGAGCAGGUGCGAAAGCAGGUCAUAGUGAUCCGGUGGUUCUGAAUGGAAGGGCCAUCGCUCAACGGAUAAAAGGUACCCGGGGAUAACAGGCUGAUACCGCCCAAGAGUUCAUAUCGACGGCGGUGUUUGGCACCUCGAUGUCGGCUCAUCACAUCCUGGGGCUGAAGUAGGUCCCAAGGGUAUGGCUGUUCGCCAUUUAAAGUGGUACGCGAGCUGGGUUUAGAACGUCGUGAGACAGUUCGGUCCCUAUCUGCCGUGGGCGCUGGAGAAUUGAGGGGGGCUGCUCCUAGUACGAGAGGACCGGAGUGGACGCAUCACUGGUGUUCGGGUUGUCAUGCCAAUGGCACUGCCCGGUAGCUAAAUGCGGAAGAGAUAAGUGCUGAAAGCAUCUAAGCACGAAACUUGCCCCGAGAUGAGUUCUCCCUGAGACUAUAAGUCUCCUGAAGGAACGUUAAAGACGAUGACGUUGAUAGGCCGGGUGUGUAAGCGCAGCGAUGCGUUGAGCUAACCGGUACUAAUGAACCGUGAGGCUUAACCUUACAACGCCGAAG
rnacentral:rRNA from 1 species